rnacentral:rRNA from 1 species
UACGUAGGGCGCAAGCGUUAUCCGGAAUUAUUGGGCGUAAAGAGCUCGUAGGCGGUUUGUCGCGUCUGCCGUGAAAGUCCGGGGCUCAACUCCGGAUCUGCGGUGGGUACGGGCAGACUAGAGUGAUGUAGGGGAGACUGGAAUUCCUGGUGUAGCGGUGAAAUGCGCAGAUAUCAGGAGGAACACCGAUGGCGAAGGCGGGUCUCUGGGCAUUAACUGACGCUGAGGAGCGAAAGCGUGGGGAGCGAACAGG